rnacentral:rRNA from 1 species
CCUACGGGUGGCAGCAGUGGGGAAUAUUGGACAAUGGGCGAAAGCCUGAUCCAGCCAUGCCGCGUGUGUGAAGAAGGCCUUCGGGUUGUAAAGCACUUUCAGUGGGGAAGAAAGCCUUGGGGCUAAUACCCUCGAGGAAGGACAUCACCCACAAAAGAAGCACCGGCUAACUCCGUGCCAGCAGCCGCGGUAAUACGGAGGGUGCGAGCGUUAAUCGGAAUUACUGGGCGUAAAGCGCGCGUAGGCGGUCUGAUAAGCCGGUUGUGAAAGCCCCGGGCUCAACCUGGGAACGGCAUCCGGAACUGUCAGGCUAGAGUGCAGGAGAGGAAGGUAGAAUUCCCGGUGUAGCGGUGAAAUGCGUAGAGAUCGGGAGGAAUACCAGUGGCGAAGGCGGCCUUCUGGACUGACACUGACGCUGAGGUGCGAAAGCGUGGGUAGCAAACAGGAUUAGAUACCCCAGUAGUC